UACAUGUGGGGCAAGCGUUGUUCGGAAUUACUGGGCAUAAAGGGUGCGUAGGCGGCGCGUCAAGUCACUGGUGAAAGUUUGCGGCCCAACCGUAAAAUUGCCGGCGAUACUGGCGUGCUCGAGUGCGUGAGGGGUUGGGGGAACGAGUGGUGUAGCGGUGAAAUGCGUAGAGAUCACUCGGAAGGCGAGAGCCGAAGGGGCCCAAGUGGUACGCAACUGACGCUGAGGCACGAAAGCGUGGGGAGCAAACAGG
rnacentral:rRNA from 1 species